rnacentral:rRNA from 1 species
GGAAUUGUUCGCAAUGGGCGCAAGCCUGACGACGCAACGCCGCGUGGAGGAUGAAGAUUUUCGGAUCGUAAACUCCUGUCGAAUGGGAUGAAUAGAUUGCGGGUUAACAGCCCGUGAUCCUGACGGUACCGUUAAAGGAAACCCCGGCUAACUCUGUGCCAGCAGCCGCGGUAAUACAGAGGGGGCAAGCGUUGUUCGGAAUUACUGGGCGUAAAGGGCGCGUAGGCGGCCCGCUAAGUCGAACGUGAAAUCCCCAGGCUCAACCUGGGAACUGCGUCCGAUACUGGCAGGCUUGAAUCCGGGAGAGGGAUGUGGAAUUCCAGGUGUUGCGGUGAAAUGCGUAGAUAUCUGGAGGAACACCGGUGGCGAAGGCGGCAUCCUGGACCGGUAUUGACGCUGAGGCGCGAAAGCUAGGGGAGCAAAC